GGUCAAGCGAUUAAGCGCAUACGGUGGAUGCCUUGGCAGCCAGAGGCGAUGAAGGACGUGAUAGCCUGCGAUAAGCGUUGGCGAGGUGGCAAAUACCCUGCGACCCAACGAUUUCCGAAUGGGGAAACCCACUCACCAUCAGGUGAGUAUCUAUAGGCCAAUACAUAACCUAUAGAGGCAAACCCGGGGAACUGAAACAUCUAAGUACCCGGAGGAAAAGAAAUCAACCGAGAUUCCCCAAGUAGCGGCGAGCGAACGGGGACCAGCCCUUAAGCGAUACAACUGACAGACGAACAAGCUGGGAAGCUUGACGAUACAGGGUGAUAGUCCCGUAGUCGAAGUCUGAGUAUCGUGAAAUCGAGUAGGUCGGGGCACGAGAAACCUUGACUGAACAUGGGGGGACCAUCCUCCAAGGCUAAAUACUCCUGGCUGACCGAUAGUGAACCAGUACCGUGAGGGAAAGGCGAAAAGAACCCCGGCGAGGGGAGUGAAAUAGAUCCUGAAACCGUAUGCGUACAAGCAGUGGGAGCACCUUCGUGGUGUGACCGCGUACCUUUUGUAUAAUGGGUCAGCGACUUAUAUUCUGUGGCGAGCUUAACCGUAUAGGGGAGGCGUAGGGAAACCGAGUCUUAACUGGGCGACCAGUCGCAGGGUAUAGACCCGAAACCGGGCGAUCUAUCCAUGGCCAGGGUGAAGAUUGAGUAACAUCAAUUGGAGGCCCGAACCCAAGUAUGUUGAAAAAUGCUGGGAUGAGCUGUGGAUCGGAGUGAAAGGCUAAUCAAGCCCGGAGAUAGCUGGUUCUCCUCGAAAGCUAUUUAGGUAGCGCCUCACGUAUCACCGCUGGGGGUAGAGCACUGUUUCGGCUAGGGGGUCAUCCCGACUUACCAACCCGAGGCAAACUCCGAAUACCAGUGAGUGCAGCGUGGGAGACACACAGCGGGUGCUAACGUCCGUUGUGAAAAGGGAAACAACCCAGACCGUCAGCUAAGGUCCCAAAAUCCUGAUUAAGUGGGAAACGAUGUGGGAAGGCUCAGACAGCUAGGAGGUUGGCUUAGAAGCAGCCAUCCUUUAAAGAAAGCGUAAUAGCUCACUAGUCGAGUCGGCCUGCGCGGAAGAUAUAACGGGGCUAAAUCAGGUACCGAAGCUACGGGUUCAUCCU
rnacentral:rRNA from 1 species